GACAGAGGGUGCAAACGUUGUUCGGAAUUACUGGGCGUAAAGCGCGUGUAGGCCGCUCAGAAAGUCGGAUGUGAAAGCCCUGGGCUUAACCUAGGAAGUGCAUUCGAAACUUCUGAGCUGGAGUUCUGGAGAGGAAGGCGGAAUUCUCGGUGUAGAGGUGAAAUUCGUAGAUAUCGAGAGGAACACCGGUGGCGAAGGCGGCCUUCUGGACAGUGACUGACGCUGAGACGCGAAAGCGUGGGGAGCAAACAGG
rnacentral:rRNA from 1 species